UACGGAGGGGGCUAGCGUUGUUCGGAAUUACUGGGCGUAAAGCGCACGUAGGCGGACUGUUAAGUCGGGGGUGAAAUCCUGGGGCUCAACCUCAGAAUUGCCUCCGAUACUGGCAGUCUCGAGUGCGGGAGAGGUGAGUGGAAUUCCCAGUGUAGAGGUGAAAUUCGUAGAUAUUGGGAAGAACACCAGUGGCGAAGGCGGCUCACUGGCCCGUAACUGACGCUGAGGUGCGAAAGGCGUGGGAGCAAACAGG
rnacentral:rRNA from 1 species